AACCGGCGAGUUACGAUCUGAUGCAAGGUUAAGCAGAAAAUGUGGAGCCGUAGCGAAAGCGAGUCUGAAUAGGGCGAAUGAGUAUUUGGUCGUAGACCCGAAACCAGGUGAUCUACCCUUGGUCAGGUUGAAGUUCAGGUAACACUGAAUGGAGGACCGAACCGACUUACGUUGAAAAGUGAGCGGAUGAACUGAGGGUAGCGGAGAAAUUCCAAUCGAACUUGGAGAUAGCUGGUUCUCUCCGAAAUAGCUUUAGGGCUAGCCUCAAGUGAUGAUUAUUGGAGGUAGAGCACUGUUUGGACGAGGGGCCCCUCUCGGGUUACCGAAUUCAGACAAACUCCGAAUGCCAAAUAAUUUAACUUGGGAGUCAGAAUGUGGGUGAUAAGGUCCAUAUUCGAAAGGGAAACAGCCCAGACCACCAGCUAAGGUCCCAAAAUAUAUGUUAAGUGGAAAAGGAUGUGGCGUUGCCCAGACAACUAGGAUGUUGGCUUAGAAGCAGCCAUCAUUUAAAGAGUGCGUAAUAGCUCACUAGUCGAGUGACACUGCGCCGAAAAUGUACCGGGGCUAAACAUAUUACCGAAGCUGUGGAUUGUCCUUUGGACAAUGGUAGGAGAGCGUUCUAAGGGCGUUGAAGCAUGAUCGCAAGGACAUGUGGAGCGCUUAGAAGUGAGAAUGCCGGUGUGAGUAGCGAAAGACGGGUGAGAAUCCCGUCCACCGAUUGACUAAGGUUUCCAGAGGAAGGCUCGUCCGCUCUGGGUUAGUCGGGUCCUAAGCUGAGGCCGACAGGCGUAGGCGAUGGAUAACAGGUUGAUAUUCCUGUACCACCAUUAUUCGUUUUAAGCGAUGGGGGGACGCAGUAGGAUAGGCGAAGCGUGCUGUUGGAGUGCACGUCCAAGCAGUGAGAUUGAGUGUUAGGCAAAUCCGGCACUCUUAAGAUUGAGCUGUGAUGGGGAGAGGAACUUGUUCCUCGAGUCGUUGAUUUCACACUGCCGAGAAAAGCCUCUAGCUAGAAUAACGGUGCCCGUACCGCAAACCGACACAGGUAGUCAAGAUGAGAAUUCUAAGGUGAGCGAGCGAACUCUCGUUAAGGAACUCGGCAAAAUGACCCCGUAACUUCGGGAGAAGGGGUGCUCUUUGAGGUUCACGCUUCGAAGAGCCGCAGUGAAUAGGCCCAAGCGACUGUUUAUCAAAAACACAGGUCUCUGCUAAACCGUAAGGUGACGUAUAGGGGCUGACGCCUGCCCGGUGCUGGAAGGUUAAGAGGAGUGGUUAGCGCAAGCGAAGCUACGAAUCGAAGCCCCAGUAAACGGCGGCCGUAACUAUAACGGUCCUAAGGUAGCGAAAUUCCUUGUCGGGUAAGUUCCGACCCGCACGAAAGGCGUAACGAUUUGGGCACUGUCUCAACGAGAGACUCGGUGAAAUCAUAGUACCGGUGAAGAUGCCGGUUACCCGCGACAGGACGGAAAGACCCCGUGGAGCUUUACUGUAGCCUGAUAUUGAAAUUCGGUACAGUUUGUACAGGAUAGGUAGGAGCCUUAGAAGCGUGAGCGCUAGCUUACGUGGAGGCAUUGGUGGGAUACUACCCUAAUUGUAUUGGAUUUCUAACCCGCAGCACUUAUCGUGCUGGGAGACAGUGUCAGGCGGGCAGUUUGACUGGGGCGGUCGCCUCCUAAAGAGUAACGGAGGCGCUCAAAGGUUCCCUCAGAAUGGUUGGAAAUCAUUCAUAGAGUGUAAAGGCAUAAGGGAGCUUGACUGCGAGACCUACAAGUCGAGCAGGGUCGAAAGACGGACUUAGUGAUCCGGUGGUUCCGCAUGGAAGGGCCAUCGCUCAACGGAUAAAAGCUACCCCGGGGAUAACAGGCUUAUCUCCCCCAAGAGUUCACAUCGACGGGGAGGUUUGGCACCUCGAUGUCGGCUCAUCGCAUCCUGGGGCUGUAGUCGGUCCCAAGGGUUGGGCUGUUCGCCCAUUAAAGCGGUACGCGAGCUGGGUUCAGAACGUCGUGAGACAGUUCGGUCCCUAUCCGUCGUGGGCGUAGGAAAUUUGAGAGGAGCUGUCCUUAGUACGAGAGGACCGGGAUGGACAUACCUCUGGUGUACCAGUUGUCGUGCCAACGGCAUAGCUGGGUAGCUAUGUAUGGACGGGAUAAGUGCUGAAAGCAUCUAAGCAUGAAGCCCCCCUCGAGAUGAGAUUUCCCAACUUCGGUUAUAAGAUCCCUCAAAGAUGAUGAGGUGAAUAGGUUCGAGGUGGAAGCGUAGCGAUACGUGGAGCUGACGAAUACUAAUCGAUCGAAGACUUAAUCAA
rnacentral:rRNA from 1 species